rnacentral:rRNA from 1 species
CGAAAACGAAUUCUCUCUUGAGUGGAUCCUGAGUACGACGGAGCACGUGAAAUUCCGUCGGAAUCUGGGAGGACCAUCUCCUAAGGCUAAAUACUCUCUAGUGACCGAUAGUGAACCAGUACCGUGAGGGAAAGGUGAAAAGUACCCCGGAAGGGGAGUGAAAGAGAACUUGAAACCGUGUGCUUACAAGUAGUCAGAGCCCGUUAAUGGGUGAUGGCGUGCCUUUUGUAGAAUGAACCGGCGAGUUACGAUCUGAUGCAAGGUUAAGCAGAAAAUGUGGAGCCGUAGCGAAAGCGAGUCUGAAUAGGGCGAAUGAGUAUUUGGUCGUAGACCCGAAACCAGGUGAUCUACCCUUGGUCAGGUUGAAGUUCAGGUAACACUGAAUGGAGGACCGAACCGACUUACGUUGAAAAGUGAGCGGAUGAACUGAGGGUAGCGGAGAAAUUCCAAUCGAACUUGGAGAUAGCUGGUUCUCUCCGAAAUAGCUUUAGGGCUAGCCUCAAGUGAUGAUUAUUGGAGGUAGAGCACUGUUUGGACGAGGGGCCCCUCUCGGGUUACCGAAUUCAGACAAACUCCGAAUGCCAAAUAAUUUAACUUGGGAGUCAGAAUGUGGGUGAUAAGGUCCAUAUUCGAAAGGGAAACAGCCCAGACCACCAGCUAAGGUCCCAAAAUAUAUGUUAAGUGGAAAAGGAUGUGGCGUUGCCCAGACAACUAGGAUGUUGGCUUAGAAGCAGCCAUCAUUUAAAGAGUGCGUAAUAGCUCACUAGUCGAGUGACACUGCGCCGAAAAUGUACCGGGGCUAAACAA